UACGAAGGGGGGCUAGCGUUGCUCGGAAUCACUGGGCGUAAAGCGCACGUAGGCGGCUUUCUAAGUCAGGGGUGAAAUCCUGGAGCUCAACUCCAGAACUGCCUUUUGAUACUGGGAGAGCUUGAGUCCGGAAGAGGUGAGUGGAACUCCGAGUGUAGAGGUGAAAUUCGUAGAUAUUCGGAAGAACACCAGUGGCGAAGGCGGCUCACUGGUCCGGUACUGACGCUGAGGUGCGGAAAGCGUGGGGAGCAAACAGGG
rnacentral:rRNA from 1 species